rnacentral:rRNA from 1 species
GACGAACCGUACGAACGUUAUUCGGAAUUACUGGGCUUAAAGGGUGCGUAGGCGGCGCGGAAAGUAGGGUGUGAAAUCCCUCGGCUCAACCGAGGAACUGCGCUCUAAACUACCGUGCUCGAGGGAGAUAGAGGUGAGCGGAACUGAGGGUGGAGCGGUGAAAUGCGUUGAUAUCCUCAGGAACACCGGUGGCGAAAGCGGCUCACUGGAUCUCUUCUGACGCUGAGGCACGAAAGCUAGGGUAGCGAACGGGAUUAGAUACCCCGGUAGUCCUAGCCGUAAACGAUGAGCACUGGAUUGGAGGGCCCUCCAUAGCCUUCCGGUCGCAGCGAAAGUGUUAAGUGCUCCGCCUGGGGAGUAUGGUCGCAAGGCUGAA